rnacentral:rRNA from 1 species
UACAGGGGGUGCAAACGUUGCUCGGAAUCAUUGGGCGUAAAGCGCACGUAGGCGGUCUGUUAUGUCGGAUGUGAAAGCCCUCGGCUCAACUGAGGAAGUGCAUCCGAAACUGGCAGGCUAGAGUACUAAAGAGGGUCGCGGAAUUCCCGGUGUAGAGGUGAAAUUCGUAGAUAUCUGGAGGAACACCGGUGGCGAAGGCGGCAUCCUGGACCGACACUGACACUGAGGAGCGAAAGCCAGGGGAGCAAACGGG